CCAGUGUAGUGAAUGAACAUGUUGAUCUAUAUUAUUAUACUGCUGUCAUCAACUGAAGGUUCCAGAGCCUCAGAAGUCAUCACUCCAAAAAGUGACAGAGAAUUUGCUCUUGAGGGUGACAAUGUGACACUCUCCUGUAACUACAGCGGUUCUGCUCGUGGUGUUCACUGGUAUCGGCAAUAUGCAGGAUCACCACCACAGUUCCUCAUACUGGAAGAUUCAGGGGCAACAAUUCAAGCUAAUCCACCCAUUCCAGGAAUAAGCAUCAAUCACAGAAAAACAGAAAUCCAUGUGGAUCUGAUCAUCUCCUCUGCUAAAGUGUCAGACUCUGCUCUGUACUACUGUGCUCUGCAGCCCACAGUCACAGGAAACCCUAUAACACUCUACACUGGUUCUGUUCGAGGUCUUCACUGGUCUCAUCAAUACUCAGGUUCACCACCAAAGUUCCUCAUAAUGGAUUAUUAUGGGGUAGUUACUGAAGCUGAUCCUCCAGUUGCUGGAGUCUCAAUCUAUCACAGAAAAGACAACAGUAGUGUGGAUCUGAAGAUCUCCUCUGCUGCUGUCACUGACUCCGCUCUCUACUACUGUGCUUUGGAGCCCACAGUGAAAGGAAAUCUACUGCAUGUUGUACAAAAUGCUCUUUAA